UGGCGGGCUAGUCCGGGUAGGCCGGCGUUACCUGUAACCCGAAAUCGCCGAUAUGCGGGGGACGAAGCCAAGAGAAGAUGCCUGGAUCAUUUUCAAACCUGUGAUCUCAACUGAGAAGCCCCGUCCUGUUUGGAUGGUGCUGGUAUAAGGGCUUGUUGGAGAACUUGUUCGUAUACCUUAACUGCGGGAACCAGUUCAGGACCGGAAGGGAGCAGACCUACCGUGGGCAACUAUCGCUUGCAGGGCUGCGGGGUGGAGAAGAGGCCACAGAUCAUUUGGAGAUGUGAAGGACAGCAACUUGCGGCAUGCUCGUCA
rfam:Methanolobus psychrophilus R15, complete genome.